rnacentral:rRNA from 1 species
CCUACGGGUGACAGCAGUGAGGAAUAUUGGUCAAUGGACGCAAGUCUGAACCAGCCAUGCCGCGUGCAGGAAGACGGCCCUAUGAGUUGUAAACUGCUUUUGUACGAGGGUAAACCCAGAUACGCGUGUCUCUCUGAUAGUAUCGUACGAAUAAGGAUCGGCUAACUCCGUGCCAGCAGCCGCGGUAAUACGGAGGAUUCAAGCGUUAUCCGGAUUUAUUGGGUUUAAAGGGUGCGUAGGCGGUCGGAUAAGUUAGGGGUGAAAUCACGAGGCUCAACUUCGGAAUUGCCGCUGAUACUGUUGGGCUGGAGAGUAGGAGCGGUAGGCGGAAUGUAUGGUGUAGCGGUGAAAUGCAUAGAGAUCAUACAGAACACCGAUUGCGAAGGCAGCUUACCGGGGUACAUCUGACGUUGAGGCACGAAAGCGUGGGGAGCGAACAGGAUUAGAUACCCCGGUAGUC